ensembl:misc_RNA Metazoa_SRP Metazoan signal recognition particle RNA
GCUGGGCACGGUGGCGCGUGCCUGUAAUCCCAGCUACUCAGGAGGCUGAGGCAGGAGAAUUGCCUGAACCCAGGAGGUGGAGGUUGCAGUGAGCCGAGAUUGCGCCAUUGCACUCCAGCCUGGGUAACAAGAGCAAAACUCUGUCUCAA